UCGAGAACCGAUCGAGAGACCGUGAACUUGUAAACGAAUGACACCGUGUCGGGCGGGUGUUAUGCCCGUCCUACUCGGGACCUCGCAUCGUGUCUGUGGUCGCCUCCGAGCGUUUCGGGCAUGAUUUGUGAGGGACGAACGAAACCCCGGCACGGCCUGCGCUAAGGAACAUAUGUCUGGACGGAUGCACGUCAACGCCUCUGUGGUGGGGCGACGUCCGCUCUCUAUC
rnacentral:misc_RNA from 1 species